UACAGAGGGUGCGAGCGUUAAUCGGAAUUACUGGGCGUAAAGCGUGCGCAGGCGGUUUUGUAAGCCAGAUGUGAAAUCCCCGGGCUUAACCUGGGAAUGGCAUUUGGGACUGCAAGGCUUGAGUGCGGCAGAGGAGACUGGAAUUCCUGGUGUAGCAGUGAAAUGCGUAGAUAUCAGGAGGAACACCGAUGGCGAAGGCAGGUCUCUGGGCUGACACUGACGCUCAUGCACGAAAGCGUGGGGAGC
rnacentral:rRNA from 1 species